GCCGGAGUGGCGGAAUGGCAGACGCACUGGACUCAAAAUCCAGCGCCUUCACGGGCGUGAGGGUUCGACUCCCUCCUCCGGCACCA
rnacentral:tRNA from 1 species